AUUUACCGUGUACGAUAUCUUAUCGAGAUAUCUCGAAAUAACACGAUCGAACAUACAAGAUGGCAGCCCAUUAAAGAGUUCAUAUAUGCGUGUGGUUGUUUUGUGCAGUGCUUCUGUAAUUUUAUUCUUAACAAUAAUUUAGCAUCUUUAAUCAUGGGUACUUCAGACUUAGAAUGUUUAGAUGGUAAAAGAGAUAUUGUGAGCAUAGAUUCUGAAUCCGAUAUGUUGAAUGACCAAAGAAAAAAGAAAAAAAGGAAACAUAAGCACCAUAAACAUAAGAAAGAUAAAUUAAUUGAAAGAGAGGAUGGGAAAAUUGAAAGGCAAGACAGGAAAAGGCAUAAGAAACACAAACGACCUAAGAAAGAAAGGGAAGUUGAAAAUGGUUCGUUAGAUGAGAAACCAACAAGAACAGUUCAAAAAGAUGUUGGUAUAAAUGGCAAAGUAAAAAAUUCACUGCUAGAGGUUGUUUCUACAGAAGAAAGUGAAGAUGAAAAGUUAAUAGAUUUAGAUUCAGAUGAGGUUGAUUGUACAAUUAUUGAAGAUGAUAUUGAUCUUGAAGAAUUAAUGAAACAAAAGGAACGGUUGCAAGCAUGUUUAGUACAAUAUCUCUCAGAUGAAUCUGAUAAAGAAGAGAAGGAACCAGAUCAGGAGGAAGUAAAAGCUACUGAAACACCUGACGUUAUACUUGUAGAAGAUGACAGUGAAAACGACAAUAUACCCCCUAAAAAGCGGGCUAGGAGUAAAUCUGGUAGCAGGGAACGGAAAAAGAUAACGAAACCUGAAAGGCGUGUUGUUGUAGAUAUGAGCAGAGAUCGUAGAAGUCGAGAGGAGCAUAAAGGAGAUAAAAGACGCGAUUCUGAUAGAAGAAGAGAGGAAAAGGUACGUACAAAAGAUGAAUUAAGGAGGGAAGAAAACAGAAGAGAUGAUCGACCAGCUCGAAAAAUAAGUGACAGGCAUAGGGAGGAGUCCCGUAAAGAAGAUAGUAAAAGAAGGUCAGAAGAUGAUAAACGUAAAGAAUCUAUUAAGAAGGAUGAGUCGCGUAAAAGAGAGCAGGAUAGACGGGAAGAAGACCGACGAAGGGAUUCAGAUCAUCAUAACUCUAGAUCACGUAAUGAUUAUAAAUCACUAGAAAAUCGAGAACGACAGAGUAGUCGAGAUCGCCAUGUCAGUCGAGAUCGACACGUAAGUAAGGAUAGACAGGUUAGUCGAGAUCGACACGCAAGCCGUGAUCGGCAUGUUAGCAGAGAUCGUCAUGUCAGUCGGGAUCGUCAUACUAGUAGAGAUCGACCAAAUAGUCGUGAUCGUCGCAGUCGAGAAAGACCUCCCAGCAAGGAUAGACACAGCCGUGAUAAAAGAGACAGUAGAGAGCGUCAUGCGAGUCGAGAACGGCACAGAGAAAGUAGAGGUAGUCGUGAUCGUAAUGAUAUACGAGAUAACCGAAAUCGCGAAAGAAUUAGAGAACGUUCAAGAAGUACUAGAAGAUCUCGUAGCCCUGUCAGGGCUAGAUUAGAUAGAGAUCGUAACGAUCGGUACAAAACUUCUAGAUCAGUAUCUAGAAGUAGAAGGGAAAGAGAGAAACAUACCAGAGACCACGAUAGAGAUAGAGAAAAAAAUGGUAAAAGGGAGCGUAAUGACAAAUACAAAGACUCUUUAUCGGAAGGGCUGAAAGUGGAACAUUCAGAAAGCUCAAGUGAAGAAGAUAUUAAAGAUAUUGAUAUAGAAGAAGAAGAAGAUGAAGAGGCAAUUAUAGAACGUAGAAGAAAACAGAGAGAAGAACUUCUUAAAAGGUUAGGUGGACCAAACGAAGACUCCAAUAUGUCUGCUGACAUAAAUACUGUUCCUGCUACACCACCAUCGGAGAGCCAAUCAAACGUGUCACAAAAAUCGUUAGAGGUUCCAUCCAACAAUAACGAAUCUACUUCAGAAAGUCAUACACCACCACUGCCUGAAAAACCAAAGUCACCACAAACAGUUAAAAAGAGAAAAUCCAGAUUCGAUGAUACACCAUCAGAAGAUAUUGAAAAAAAUGACGACACAAAAUCAAUGGAAAAACUCAAACCAGAAGAAAAACAAAAUGCAAAAAAAUCAAACGAAUGGGAUAUGUUCGCCGAGGCAGAUAAUAUUGGCGAUUUUAGUAGUCCUACUGUCGAAGGGAAACGGCAAGGAGGACCAGAUAAUCCAAGUUUAACGGACAACUGGGAUGAUGCUGAAGGAUAUUAUCGAGUACGAGUAGGCGAAACAUUAGAUUCCCGAUAUGUAGUUUACGGAUAUACAGGUCAAGGUGUAUUUAGUAAUGUUGUAAGGGCUAGAGACAGCGCUAGAGGCAAUUUGGACGUCGCUGUAAAAAUAAUAAGGAAUAAUGAAAUAAUGCAUAAAACUGGCCUUAAGGAAUUAGAAAUCCUCAGAAAACUUAAUGAUGCAGAUCCAGAAGACAGAUUUCAUUGUUUACGUCUUUUUAGACACUUUUUUCACAAAAAUCAUUUGUGUAUGGUUUUUGAACCUUUAGCUAUGAAUUUAAGAGAGGUUUUGAAAAAGUAUGGCAAAGACGUUGGUUUACACGUUAAAGCGGUAAGAUCGUAUACGCAGCAACUUUUCCUUGCUUUGAAGUUAUUAAAACGUGCAAACAUUCUUCAUGCUGACAUCAAACCGGAUAACAUUCUAGUCAGUGAAAGUAAACUAGUAUUGAAACUCUGCGAUUUCGGUUCAGCAUCCCAUGCACAUGAGAACGAUAUAACACCAUACUUGGUAUCAAGAUUUUAUCGAGCACCUGAGAUUAUUCUUGGUGUACCAUAUGAUUUUGGCAUUGACAUGUGGUCCGUGGGAUGCACCAUAUAUGAAUUAUACACGGGAAAAAUAAUGUUCUCGGGUAAAACCAACAACCAAAUGUUGAAAUUCUUCAUGGAUCUGAAGGGGAAGAUGCCUAAUAAACUGAUUAGGAAGGGCAUGUUCAAGGACCUACAUUUUGACUCUAACUGCAAUUUCCUGUAUCAUGAAGUUGAUAAGGUUACGGAGCGGGAAAAAGUUGUAGUGAUGUCAACGUUACCUGCUACACGUGAUCUUAAUGCAGAGUUAGGUGGAAAUUCUUUGCCACCGGAACAAAGUAGAAAAGUUGGACAACUGAAGGACCUGUUGGAGCGAACGUUGAUGCUGGAUGCUGGAAAGAGAAUUACUGUGAACCACGCUCUGGCACAUCCAUUUAUACAAGAAAAAAUCUAGGUCAAUAGAGUGCAAUAUUUUUAUAUUAAAAUUAGAACCACUACAAAUGACGAAUAAAAACGUUGGAGUUCACUGAUGUAUCGAACAACACAAAAAUAUGAGAUACAUUUAUACGGAUCGGAACAAUAUAGUGUAUCAGGGCGUAAAAAUCCUCUUUCCGUGUAAAUUUUUCUUUUUCUUUAAAAUUCGAGUUAUUUCGCUUAGAUUUGGUUUACUUCUUUUUCUCUGUGCACAGCACCGAUAAAGUAAAUAAACCAACGAUGCUACGCUAAGAAGAAGAGGCAUGCAGAGUUACAUACUUGGUAAUCGUAUUCUCUUCCGUGGACGAUAUGAACUGGGAAAAAGUGACCGCCUCUUUCAGCACUGGCCAUCGAUACUUAGCAUAAUGGUGGUACAUAGUAUUUUUCUUUUUUCUCAAUCUUUCAAUUAAAAAAAAUAAUAAAAGAGAAAGACGAUAAGAAAAGGGAAAGGAAAGUAUGCGCUACUUUACAAUUAAAUAAUAUCUCAUAAAUUAUUAUAUUCGUAAAUCGUUAUUAAUAAUGCGUUUACGUUCACAAUGAGAGGAUUCCGUGUAUUUGUGAAAUUGUAAAACUUAAUGAAUUUGAUAAUCGUUAACCGAUUCACAAACGGUUCGUGUUUUUCUUUGUUGGCAUUGAAAUGUGCGCAUGCAUGGCAUUUGGAGUCUCUUAGUAAAUCAAAGAGACUUGUACUGACAGAGGAAAAAGAUACAAAUUGUAUAGUAAGUAGGUUACUUGAAAUAAAACGACACAUGCUUAACUGAAUGAGAAACGAGCCCUGUAUUUUAUACUUUCAGUCUUAAUGACUAAUAUAAAUAAUCGCGCGCAUCUCCCGUGCAUAUAGAAGCACGUGCCGUAGUUAUAAUAUAUUUAAAAAGAAACAAACUGUAAUCCGUUUCGUAUCUAGUAACGAGGUAUAAUAGGUAGAUAACAUGUGUUUCAGAAAAUGUUGUAAAAUAAGUUGCUAUGUUAACACUCAAUCACUAAUUGACCGUUAGUUUCACAAAAUACUAAUUCAUUUUCACAUCUGACGUUGCAUUUAUUUAGGUGACAAUGUAAAGAAAUAUGAGAAAAUAAUAAUGUAUAUAUUUGCACUGAAAAAUAGAGGUCUGGAAUAUUUACCAACGGAUAGUUUAAAUACAGCAACGAAAUUACUUAACACACAAUAAUCAUAUAACAAUAGUAAUCGUAUUAUUUGUCACAAAAACCGAUAUUUUCGUUUUAACGAUUAUGUCCAUGGCAUACGAUUCUGCAUUCUAGCUUUAUAAAUUUUCCUUUUUUUUCUUUUAUUUAAUCGUUGCGUUAUUCAUUUUUAAGUAUGAUACAGCAGAACAUCAAUGCUGUUUGAGUGGUUCGUGGUAUAUAUUUUUACGUGGCAAUAUUGUACGAGGCUGCUUAUGUUUCAGAUGAGUCUUCGAUUCAAAGCAUCGUUAAGUGCGGGUGGACCUAUGUGGGCUUUUAACGCCGAUCCCGUUGCAAGCCCUCCCUGUGAGGAGGGGAGGCAAUGGAAGAGAUGAUGAAAUCAGUUGGUGGAAAGCACUGAUGACAAAGGAAAUGGGGUGAAAUCCUCGCAGCAGCUGCUUGACUUCUUGUAUAUAAAAUGACGACUGUCACAAAAGGGAUCACCAAAUAUUUAAUUAAAUUUGUAACAGCAGAGAGGUUUGUCUUAAUGUUUCAUUGAGAUUAAUAAAACCGUAAGUAUGUAAACAGGUAAGGUACAUGUGUGUGCUGAAUUCUAAGCUACCGUAAUAUAUUUUAGAAGUGUAUAAAUGCCGUGGUGUGUAUAUACUCGAAUAUAGGUAACAUUGAACAAAACGUAAUACUAAUAUUGUUGGCCUUCAGUUUUCAGAUGACUAUAAACCAAAAUCUUUGAACAUAGUUUUAAUAUAAACAAACAAGUUUUACAUGUGAAAAGUACUAUAACAAUCAUCACAAUAAAUUACACAUAUACGUAAUGGGAUAAAUAAAUUUAUUUCGCAUUGCACUUUGAUACAGCAUUUUAUAUCUAGUAAUAAAGAAAUUAAAUUUUUGUAGACUACAUUAUCCGCGUCACCAGUAUGGAACGUUUUUAAGCAUUUUUCUUACCAUAUGUGUGAUAAUUUAUAUUUAAUUUAGAUUUAUUCAUAUAUCUCUUAAACAUAUUG